rnacentral:rRNA from 1 species
CCUACGGGUGGCAGCAGUGAGGAAUAUUGGUCAAUGGGCGCGAUCCUGAACCAGCCAAGCAGCGUGCAGGACGACGGCUCUACGAGUUGUAAACUUCUUUUAUAACGGGAUAAAAUGAGCUACGUGUGCCUUUUUGUAUGUACUUUAUGAAUAAGGAUCGGCUAACUCCGUGCCAGCAGCCGCGGUAAUACGGAGGAUCCGAGCGUUAUCCGGAUUUAUUGGGUUUAAAGGGAGCGUAGGUGGUUUUAUAAGUCAGUUGUGAAAUAUCGCGGCUCAACCGCAGGGUUGCAGUUGAUACUGGCAGACUAGAGAACAGAUGAGGCAGGCGGAAUGUGUAGUGUAGCGGUGAAAUGCAUAGAUAUCACGCAGAACACCGAUUGCGAAGGCAGCUUGCUAGGCCGCCUCUGACAUUGAUGCUCGAAAGUGUGGGGAUCGAACAGGAUUAGAUACCCGGGUAGUC